UUUGGUGCCCUAGAUGAUUCUUGUUGAGUAGUAGAUUUAUUGCGAUUGUGGUUCUUUUUUUUCCCACCAGCCGCUCUGACAGAGCGAAGCAACACCCCACUGGCCUUGAAGAAAGCAACCAGGAAAGGCUGUUUGGACUGAGGCCCAUUCCUCCCAAUGAUUCCAGCAGAUUUCAUGUUGAUACUUCGCCCUGCAAAAAACAGUUUCCACACAGAGCUGCAGGCCCAAGUUCUGCUGGGGGUUCAUCAACCAGUGGUUACUGGUGGCUGUGAUGUCAAACACUAACCAGCCCCCAUCGGAUGCCAGGACCCUUUUGGAGUCAAGCAAGAAUGUCUCUGCAUCUCUGAAGGGGAUCCAGGAGGACAAACACAGGGUUGUUGAGUUGGUUCAGCGUAAUCGGGACUGUAGCACUGCAAUGAACAAAGACCAGG